UUUAAAGUAGUUUAAGGAGAACACUGUUUUUUCAGGACAGAAGAGGAUUAGUCCCUUUAAAU
rnacentral:tRNA from 1 species